GGUUUAGGUCCCACCAAUCAGAUGCCUUUGUGGGAAGCUUGACUUUCCAACCAAGGUAAGUGGGAAAAGCGGCGGCCGAGAAGCCGAGGCGCUGCCAGUGUAGAUGUGAGCGAUCUGAUGUGGUUGUGGGGCCAGUGGCAGGCUUCCUGAUUGCGGAGGGGAGCAGCAGUUCCCGACGGCCCUUUCUGGGCGGUGGAUUUGGGGUGGCCAGAUAAAAUACAGGAUGCUCACCGACACUUGAACUUUAGGAAGACCCGCAGGCCAAGACCCACCAGGAAGGGGUGUGGGCAGAGAAGGAGGACCAGUGACUGGCCAUGGCCCGAUAAAGGAAGCGCAUGCUUCACCCCGAUGACAGCACAGGAAGUAACCUGGAGACAGCACAGGAAGUACAUGCCCCUAUGAUAUCACGGAAGUAAACCUUCAAGGAAGACAUCAUAGGAAGUAUCUGUCUCUCCUAUCAUCACAGGAAGCGACCUCUGGGGAACUACUUCCUGUUACAUCACAGGGAGCACCAGAGGCACCCCCAGAAAGUACUUGACUCGGGGCCAUCACAACAGAGAUCUUCAUACCCAUUAC
rnacentral:lncRNA from 1 species